rnacentral:rRNA from 1 species
UACGUAGGUGGCAAGCGUUAUCCGGAUUUACUGGGUGUAAAGGGCGUGUAGGCGGGGACGCAAGUCAGAUGUGAAAACCACGGGCUCAACCUGUGGCCUGCAUUUGAAACUGUGUUUCUUGAGUACUGGUGAGGCAGACGGAAUUCCUAGUGUAGCGGUGAAAUGCGUAGAUAUUAGGAGGAACACCAGUGGCGAAGGCGGUCUGCUGGACAGCAACUGACGCUGAGGCGCGAAAGCGUGGGGAGCAAACAGG